rnacentral:rRNA from 1 species
GACGAACGCUGGCGGCGUGCUUAACACAUGCAAGUCGAACGGAAAGGCCCUGCUUGCAGGGUACUCGAGUGGCGAACGGGUGAGUAACACGUGGGUGAUCUGCCCUGCACUUCGGGAUAAGCCUGGGAAACUGGGUCUAAUACCGGAUAGGAGCCAUUCUUAGUGUGGUGGUUGGAAAGUUUUUUUGGUGUGGGAUGAGCUCGCGGCCUAUCAGCUUGUUGGUGGGGUAAUGGCCUACCAAGGCGGCGACGGGUAGCCGGCCUGAGGGGGUGGACGGCCACAUUGGGACUUAGAUUCGGCCCAGACUCCUACGGGAGGCAGCAGUGGGGAAUAUUGCACAAUGGGCGCAAGCCUGAUGCAGCGACGCCGCGUGGGGGAUGACGGCCUUCGGGUUGUAAACUCCUUUCGCUAGGGACGAAGCUUUUUGUGACGGUACCUAGAUAAGAAGCACCGGCUAACUACGUG